UUUAUGACUGGGGCUGCAGAGCAAAUUA
rnacentral:piRNA from 1 species